rnacentral:rRNA from 1 species
UUGAGAGCUCACUAGCUUCGGAGUCAGGGGAACUCCGAAGUUAAGCGAGUUUGGGCUAAAGCAAUUCUAUGAUGGGUGACCCAUUGGGAAGUUGUUCGUGAGUUCCCAUA